rnacentral:rRNA from 1 species
CGCCUGGGGAGUGCGGUCGCAAGAUUAAAACUCAAAUGAAUUGACGGGGGCCCGCACAAGCGGUGGAGCAUGUGGUUUAAUUCGAUGCAACGCGAAGAACCUUACCUACUCUUGACAUCCAGAGAACCUUUUAGAGAUAGAAGGGUGCCUUCGGGAACUCUGAGACAGGUGCUGCAUGGCUGUCGUCAGCUCGUGUUGUGAAAUGUUGGGUUAAGUCCCGCAACGAGCGCAACCCUUAUCCUUGUUUGCCAGCACUUCGGGUGGGAACUCCAGGGAGACUGCCGGUGAUAAACCGGAGGAAGGUGGGGACGACGUCAAGUCAUCAUGGCCCUUACGAGUAGGGCUACACACGUGCUACAAUGGCAUAUACAGAGGGCUGCCAACUCGCGAGAGUGAGCGAAUCCCAUAAAGUAUGUCGUAGUCCGGAUUGGAGUCUGCAACUCGACUCCAUGAAGUCGGAAUCGCUAGUAAUCGUGGAUCAGAAUGCCACGGUGAAUACGUUCCCGGGCCUUGAACACACCGCCCGUC